GGAUGUGAGGGAAAUAUGGCUAUGAUAUCUAUCACCCCACUGAUCACCAGGGUUGAUUCAGCUGAUCUGGGUAUCCCCUUCCUCCCUCAGCGCUCCAUGUGCAUCCCUCCCAAAGCUGCAUGCUUGGUCGAAGAGGUCGGCCUUCCCAAAUAGAGAUGGACCAGUCUUUGGUCUAGGGUAUACACGUAGCUAUGCUUCCCUGCUAAAACCUUCAAACCAGCUCUGAAGGUCCAUUUGUAGGAGAAUGUAGGGUAGUCAAGCUCCCAAGACUCCAGACACAUCCAAAUGAGGCACUGCAUGUGGCAGUCUGCCUUUCUUU
ensembl:misc_RNA 7SK 7SK RNA